rnacentral:rRNA from 1 species
UACGUAGGGGGCAAGCGUUAUCCGGAAUUACUAGGCGUAAAGCGCACGCAGGCGGUUCGCCAAGUUUGGAGUGACAGUUGUCGGCUCAACCGACAAAGGACUUCAAAAACUGGUGAACUUGAGGACGAGAGAGGAACAUGGAACUCCAGGUGUAGUAGUGAAAUGCGUAGAUAUCAAGUGGAACACCAGUGGCGAAGGCGAGUCUCUGGACAUUUCCUGACGCUGAGGCACGAAAGCCAGGGGAGCAAACGGG